rnacentral:rRNA from 1 species
CUGAGAGGGUAAUCGGCCACAUUGGGACUGAGACACGGCCCAAACUCCUACGGGAGGCAGCAGUAGGGAAUCUUCCACAAUGGACGAAAGUCUGAUGGAGCAACGCCGCGUGAGUGAUGAAGGGUUUCGGCUCGUAAAACUCUGUUGUUGGAGAAGAACAGGUGUCAGAGUAACUGUUGACAUCUUGACGGUAUCCAACCAGAAAGCCACGGCUAACUACGUGCCAGCAGCCGCGGUAAUACGUAGGUGGCAAGCGUUGUCCGGAUUUAUUGGGCGUAAAGCGAGCGCAGGCGGUUUCUUAGGUCUGAUGUGAAAGCCUUCGGCUUAACCGGAGAAGUGCAUCGGAAACCAGGAGACUUGAGUGCAGAAGAGGACAGUGGAACUCCAUGUGUAGCGGUGAAAUGCGUAGAUAUAUGGAAGAACACCAGUGGCGAAGGCGGCUGUCUGGUCUGUAACUGACGCUGAGGCUCGAAAGCAUGGGUAGCGAACAGGAUUAGAUACCCUGGUAGUCCAUGCCGUAAACGAUGAGUGCUAAGUGUUGGAGGGUUUCCGCCCUUCAGUGCUGCAGCUAACGCAUUAAGCACUCCGCCUGGGGAGUACGACCGCAAGGUUGAAACUCAAAGGAAUUGACGGGGGCCCGCACAAGCGGUGGAGCAUGUGGUUUAAUUCGAUGCUACGCGAAGAACCUUACCAGGUCUUGACAUCUUCUGCCAACCUAAGAGAUUAGGCGUUCCCUUCGGGGACAGAAUGACAGGUGGUGCAUGGUUGUCGUCAGCUCGUGUCGUGAGAUGUUGGGUUAAGUCCCGCAACGAGCGCAACCCUUAUUGUUAGUUGCCAGCAUUCAGUUGGGCACUCUAGCAAGACUGCCGGUGACAAACCGGAGGAAGGUGGGGAUGACGUCAAAUCAUCAUGCCCCUUAUGACCUGGGCUACACACGUGCUACAAUGGACGGUACAACGAGUCGCGAAACCGCGAGGUCAAGCUAAUCUCUUAAAGCCGUUCUCAGUUCGGAUUGCAGGCU